rnacentral:rRNA from 1 species
GACGAACGCUGGCGGCGUGCUUAACACAUGCAAGUCGAACGGAAAGGCCCCCAUCUUGGUGGGGGUGCUCGAGUGGCGAACGGGUGAGUAACACGUGGGUGAUCUGCCCUGUACUUCGGGAUAAGCUUGGGAAACUGGGUCUGAUACCGGAUAGGACCAUGGUUUAGUGUCUCAUGGUGGAAAGAUUAUUGUUUUGGUGCAGGAUGAGCUCGCGGCCUAUCAGCUUGUUGGUGGGGUAAUGGCCUACCAAGGCGUCGACGGGUAGCCGGCCUGAGAGGGUGGACGGCCACAUUGGGACUGAGAUACGGCCCAGACUCCUACGGGAGGCAGCAGUGGGGAAUAUUGCACAAUGGGCGCAAGCCUGAUGCAGCGACGCCGCGUGGGGGAUGACGGCCUUCGGGUUGUAAACUCCUUUCGUUAGGGACGAAGCCGCACUUUUUUUGGGUGUGGUGACGGUACCUUUGUUAAGAAGCACCGGCUAACUACGUG